UAAUGAUGUGAAAUAACAAAAAUUUGAUCAUGUAUUAGUAAACUAAAAGAGAGAGAGAAAAAAAAAAACGUUCCUGUUUCGAACCUUAGAUCCUCUGAUCUUUGGUUUCGCUGUUUACUUUGAGUCCAGUUGUGAGGAACUCGAAUGAAAAGGUAUUUUAUUGAUGUUAUUUUAUGUGAUCAACUCACGUGUUUGACCCACUGUGAGUUGAUAUAUUUUUAGGUUUCCAUUCCAAUUGGAAAAUUUUCGAUGGACUUGAUUCACUGGUAUGUGUGAAACCGUGUCAAUCGACUAAUAAAAAUGCAAUUAUGCAUUAUUGAUUGUCGUCAUUCUUAAUUUGUUUCGGUAUGGGCAGUACGGGUCGGUACCCCUGGUUUUUUAGUUUGAUUUGUUCAUUAAAUUAAAAAAAAAAUUCUGAGGUUAUCUUAGUGGCGUGUGACUAGCCACGGAUUAGAAUGUAGUGUCGUAGUAGUGGAAUAUUCUGUGCCAGAAAGUGGAAUAUUCUGUGCCAGAAUAGUGUGGUGAACAGUCCGCUAUGGCGGUGAGGUUGGAUGGGUUGAAUCCUGUUGCUGGUUCCAGUGCCCUGUGAGCUGCUCCCUGUCCGUGGGAUCUAUUGCGAUUGGAUUUCGAAAACUUGAAUUCGCGUAACACUGGUCAACAGUCGAUCUCGGAUUGUUAUUAUUGUUCCUCUAACACUUUCACUGUUUCUUCUUCUAAUCCUUUUUAUUUGUUCUUUUAGGUUUCGACCAUCUUCGAGGAGGAGCCCUUAGAAAUAUUGGACUUGCACGUUUCGUGGCAUUCACUUUCGUUGAUUUGGGUCUGUUUUUUCGAUACGUCAAAGUCACUUAAGCACGCUCUUUUGCGCUGUCACCAAUGAAGCGGAAUACGUACCGAGUGGUUAGACACUAUUACUGCUGGAUGUGAUAUGUCCUUUGAUUAACUGCACUACAUCUGCUCGAUUUUAAUUACUUUUAAUCUAUCAGUUAAGUUGAAAAAAUAUUAAAUCACUUAAACACUAAACCGAAACUUAAACAACGGGCAUCACUUCUGCCUCGCGGAAUAAAACUUAAGAGUUAACACCUAA